AGAGUUUGAUUCUGGCUCAGGAUGAACGCUAGCGGCAGGCCUAAUACAUGCAAGUCGAGGGGCAGCAGGGGUAGCAAUACUCGCUGGCGACCGGCGCACGGGUGCGUAACACGUAUGCAACUUUCCUUCAACUGGAAGAUAGCCCGAAGAAAUUCGGAUUAAUAUUCCAUAGUUAUAUGAAAUGGCAUCAUUUUAUAUUUAAAGCUCAGGCGGUUGAAGAUGGGCAUGCGUUCGAUUAGCUAGUUGGUGAGGUAAUGGCUCACCAAGGCUACGAUCGAUAGGGGAUCUGAGAGGAUUAACCCCCACACUGGUACUGAGACACGGACCAGACUCCUACGGGAGGCAGCAGUAAGGAAUAUUGGACAAUGGAGGCAACUCUGAUCCAGCCAUGCCGCGUGAAGGAUGAAGGUCCUAUGGAUCGUAAACUUCUUUUGAACGGGAGAAAACCUUCGGUCGUGUACCGAAGCUGAUAGUACCGUUAGAAUAAGGGUCGGCUAACUUCGUGCCAGCAGCCGCGGUAAUACGAAGGACCCGAGCGUUAUCCGGAUUUAUUGGGUUUAAAGGGUGCGUAGGCGGAAUGGUAAGUCAGUGGUGAAAUCUUGUGGCUUAACUGCAAAACUGCCAUUGAUACUGCCAAUCUUGAGUACAUUUGAUGUGGGCGGAAUGUGCCAUGUAGUGGUGAAAUACUUAGAUAUGGCACAGAACACCGAUCGCGAAGGCAGCUCACAAAACUGUUACUGACGCUGAGGCACGAAAGCGUGGGGAUCAAACAGGAUUAGAUACCCUGGUAGUCCACCCUUAAACUAUGAUUACUCGAUGUGUGCGAUACACAGUACGCGUCUAAGCGAAAGCGUUAAGUAAUCCACCUGGGGAGUACGGUCGCAAGAUUGAAACUCAAAGAAAUUGACGGGGGCCCGCACAAGCGGAGGAGCAUGUGGUUUAAUUCGAUGAUGCGCGAGGAACCUUACCUGGGCUUGAAAGUUAGUGAAUGCUGUGGAAACAUGGCAGGCCGCAAGGACACGAAACUAGGUGCUGCAUGGCUGUCGUCAGCUCGUGCCGUGAGGUGUUGGGUUAAGUCCCGCAACGAGCGCAACCCCUAUCUUUAGUUGCCAGCGAGUAAUGUCGGGGACUCUAAAGAAACUGCCCGUGCAAACGGUGAGGAAGGUGGGGAUGACGUCAUGUCAGCACGGCCCUUACGUCCAGGGCUACACACGUGCUACAAUGGCGAGUACAAAGGGCAGCUACAUGGUGACAUGAUGCUAAUCUCCAAAACUCGUCUCAGUUCGGAUUGAAGUCUGCAAUUCGACUUCAUGAAGCUGGAUUCGCUAGUAAUCGAAUAUCAGCAAUGAUUCGGUGAAUACGUUCCCGGGCCUUGUACACACCGCCCGUCAAACAAUGGAAGCUGAGGGUACUUAAAGUCGAUAACCGCAAGGAGUCGCCUAGGGUAAAAUCGGUAACUGGUGUUAAGUCGGAACAAGGUA
rnacentral:rRNA from 1 species